AGCCCCUGAAACAAGGGAGGCUUGCUUCAAAUCUCUGUUCCCACAACUCUCUGUCUCUGACUGUCUGUCUGCCUCUGUCUCUUUUCUUCUUCACUCAGAAACAAAAGAAGUUGGUCCUCUCCAAGCUGCAGCACAAUGACUCGUACCUGAAGUCCCUCCCCAAAACCAGCUAUUACCUGAUCUUUGGCCUCCAGAGGCAGUUAGCUGAGCGUGGACAUCUGAAAACCCACCACGAUUUGGAGGACUUUUAUAGGUGUAUCACAUAUAAUUGUCACCCAUCAACACUACAUAAAAGCCUGGAGGAUGUCAGCGAAAGGAUGCUGGAAAGCAGACCUGCAGCUCAUUUUAUGGCUCAAUACAAGACACCAGAAAAACACUGUGCUGCAGAAGAUAGAGGACACAAGAA